CCCUUAGAUGUUCUGGGCCGCACGCGUGCUACACUGAGUGGAUCAGCGGGUCAGGUUGCGCGAAAGCGUUUCCUAAUCUUUAAAUCCGCUCGUGAUGGGGAUUGACGGUUGCAAUUUUCUGUCAUGAACGAGGAAUACCUUGUAAGCGCGGGUCAUCAUCCCGCGCUGAAUACGUCCCUGCCCUUUGUACACACCGCCCGUCGCUCCUACCGAUUGAGUGGUCCGGUGAGGCUUUGGGACCUGGACGGAAAGAGCGUUUCGCUUGUUCUGUUUGGGAAACUUGGUCGAACCUUAUCAUUUAGAGGAAGGAGAAGUCGUAACA
rnacentral:rRNA from 1 species